GCCUGUGUGGGGUGAGGCUGGGAGACAGGUGAAAGAGCACGGCCUGAACCACCCAUCCCCCUACAG
ensembl:miRNA Mir7046 microRNA 7046